rnacentral:rRNA from 1 species
UACAGAGGAUGCAAGCGUUAUCCGGAAUGAUUGGGCGUAAAGCGUGUGUAGGUGGCUUUUUAAGUCCGCCGUCAAAUCCCAGGGCUCAACUCUGGACAGGCGGUGGAAACUACCAAGCUGGAGUACGGAAGGGGCAGAGGGAAUUUCCGGUGGAGCGGUGAAAUGCGUAGAGAUCGGGAAGAACACCAACGGCGAAAGCGCUCUGCUGGGCCGGCACUGACACUGAGAGACGAAAGCUAGGGGAGCGAAUGGG